CUGGUGUUAUGAAUUCACUGCAGGAUGCAAAGAUUCAGAAUCCUUUAUUAAUCCCACAAUGGAGAUAUUCACACUGUUGCAGUAGUAAGGGAUAGG